rnacentral:rRNA from 1 species
GACGAACGCUGGCGGCGUGCUUAACACAUGCAAGUCGAGCGGUAAGGCCCUUUCGGGGGUACACGAGCGGCGAACGGGUGAGUAACACGUGGGUGACCUGCCCUCAGCUCUGGGAUAAGCCUGGGAAACCGGGUCUAAUACUGGAUAUGACUCCAUGACGCAUGUUGUGGGGUGGAAAGCCUUGUGCGGCUGAGGAUGGGCCCGCGGCCUAUCAGCUUGUUGGUGGGGUGANGGCCUACCAAGGCGACGACGGGUANCCGGCCUGAGAGGGCGACCGGCCACACUGGGACUGAGACACGGCCCAGACUCCUACGGGAGGCAGCAGUGGGGAAUCUUGCGCAAUGGGCGAAAGCCUGACGCAGCGACGCCGCGUGAGGGAUGACGGCCUCGGUU